rnacentral:rRNA from 1 species
GACGAACGCUGGCGGCGUGCUUAACACAUGCAAGUCGAACGGAAAGGCCCUGCUUGCGGGGUACUCGAGUGGCGAACGGGGGAGUAACACGUGGGUGAUCUGCCCUGCACUUCGGGAUAAGCCUGGGAAACUGGGUCUAAUACCGGAUAGGAGCCAUUUUUAGUGUGAUGGUUGGAAAGUUUUUUUCGGUGUAGGGUGAGCUCGCGGCCUAUCAGCUUGUUGGUGGGGUAAUUGCCUACCAAGGCGGCGACGGGUAGCCGGCCUGGGAGGGUGGACGGCCACCUUGGGACUGAGAUACGGGCCAGACUCCCACGGGAGGCAGGAGGGGGGAAUAUUGCACAAUGGGCGCAAGCCUGAUGCAGCGACGCCGCGUGGGGGAUGACGGCCUUCGGGUUGUAAACUCCCUUCGCUAGGGACGAAGCUUUUUGUGACGGUACCUAGAUAAGAAGCACCGGCUAACUACGUG